CGGGAAAGGAGGAAACCCACUUCCGCCGCGUCCAUGAUCUCCCGCGGCUUCUCCUGACUCUUGCGGCUGGCGCUGGCGCUGGGCAUCGGGACACGGAACUGGGCAGUGGACACCACCCUCCCUCGCAGGCUUCCAUGGAGUCUCACUCUUGUCACCCAGGCUGCAGUGCAAUGGUGCGAUCUCGGCUCACUGCGACCUCUGCCUCCCGGGUUCAAGUGAUUCUUCUGCCUCAGCCUCCCAAGUAGCUGGGAUUACAGUGUUCUUUCCUGUAUGAAGCCCAAGCUGUCCACUUGGAGAGACAUCUGGCCAGCCCCCCGUUGUUCCAGCCAUCCCCAGUUCAGGCACCAGACGUGGUGAAGAAGCCAUCCUAGAUGCCCAGCCCCAGCUACCAUCUGAUGCAACCACACUGCUCACCUCGAGUGAGAACUGCCUGCAGGAGCCUAGUAUUAUCCUCUCUCACAGAACCAUGGCAGGGAAUAAUAAAUUGUUGUUUGAAGCCA